GCCUUCGUGGUGUAAUGGUCAAGCACAAUCGCAGCGUAUUCGAGAGGUCCGUGGUUCGAGUCCCGGUGAGGGCA
rnacentral:tRNA from 1 species